GGGAUAUGAGGAGUGGUGGUGUCUCGCUGAUUUUAUGCGAGUUGGGUGUUCGCCCCAAGCCUGGUUACGACAAUUGGGCACCCUCCGUUGGAUUUAUCUGAUCCC